rnacentral:rRNA from 1 species
CCUACGGGGAGCUGCAGUGAGGAAUAUUGGUCAAUGGACGAGAGUCUGAACCAGCCAAGUAGCGUGAAGGAUGACUGCCCUAUGGGUUGUAAACUUCUUUUAUAUGGGAAUAAAAUGUUCCACGUGUGGGAUUUUGUAUGUACCAUAUGAAUAAGGAUCGGCUAACUCCGUGCCAGCAGCCGCGGUAAUACGGAGGAUCCGAGCGUUAUCCGGAUUUAUUGGGUUUAAAGGGAGCGUAGGUGGAUUGUUAAGUCAGUUGUGAAAGUUUGCGGUUCAACCGUAAAAUUGCAGUUGAAACUGGCAGUCUUGAGUACAGUAGAGGUGGGCGGAAUUCGUGGUGUAGCGGUGAAAUGCUUAGAUAUCACGAAGAACUCCGAUUGCGAAGGCAGUUCACUGGACUGCAACUGACACUGAGGCUCGAAAGUGUGGGUAUCAAACAGGAUUAGAUACCCGAGUAGUC